rnacentral:rRNA from 1 species
GACGAACGCUGGCGGCGUGCUUAACACAUGCAAGUCGAACGGAAAGGCCCGGCUUUUGUGGGGUGCGCGAGUGGCGAACGGGGGAGUAUCACGUGAGGAACCUGCCCUUGACUGUGGGAUAACUUCAGGAAACUCGGGCGAAUAUCGGAUAGGAGCACCUUCUACAUGGUGGGGGUGGGAAAGUGUCGCCGGUUGGGGAUGGACUCGCGGCUUAUCAGCGUGUUGGUGGGGUAGUGGCUUACCAGGGCUUUGACGGGUAGCCGGCCUGAGAGGGUGACCGGCCACAUUGGGCCUGAGAUACGGCCCAGAGUGCUACGGGAGGCAGCAGUGGGGAAUAUUGCGAAAUGGGCGGAAGCCGGAUGCAGCAACGCCGCGUGCGGGAUGACGGUUUUCGGGUUGUAAACCGGUUUCGCGCGUGAAGAAGCGUGAGUGACGGUAAUGGGUAAAGAAGCACCGGCUAACUACGUG